rnacentral:rRNA from 1 species
GCUUACACAUGCAGUCGAACGGAAACGAAACUAGCUUGCUAGUUGGCGUCGAGUGGCGGACGGGUGAGUAACGCGUAGGAAUCUACCUAGUAGUGGGGGAUAGCCCGAAGAAAUUCGGAUUAAUACCGCAUAAUCUAUUCGUAGUAAAGUGGGGGACUUUCGAGCCUCACGCUACUAGAUGAGCCUGCGUAAGAUUAGCUUGUUGGUAGGGUAAAAGCCUACCAAGGCUACGAUCUUUAGCUGGUCUGAGAGGAUGAUCAGCCACAUCGGGACUGAGACACGGCCCGAACUCCUACGGGAGGCAGCAGUGGGGAAUAUUGGACAAUGGGGGCAACCCUGAUCCAGCAAUACCGCGUGUGUGAAGAAGGCCUGAGGGUUGUAAAGCACUUUCAAUUGUGAAGAAAAGUUAACGGUUAAUAACCGUUAGCCUUGACGUUAACUUUAGAAGAAGCACCGGCUAACUCCGUGCCAGCAGCCGCGGUAAUACGGAGGGUGCAAGCGUUAAUCGGAAUUACUGGGCGUAAAGCGUGCGUAGGCGGUUUAUUAAGUCAGAUGUGAAAGCCCCGGGCUUAACCUGGGAACUGCAUUUGAAACUGGUCAACUAGAGUAUGGUAGAGGAAAGUGGAAUUUCUGGUGUAGCGGUGAAAUGCGUAGAUAUCAGAAGGAACAUCAAUGGCGAANGCAGCUUUCUGGACCAAUACUGACGCUGAGGUACGAAAGCGUGGGUAGCAAACAGGAUUAGAUACCCUGGUAGUCCACGCCGUAAACGAUGAUAACUAGCCGUUGGGGGGAUUUACCCCUUAGUGGCGAAGCUAACGCGUUAAGUUAUCCGCCUGGGGAGUACGGCCGCAAGGUUAAAACUCAAAGGAAUUGACGGGACCCGCACAGCGUGGAGCAUGUGGUUUAUUCGAUGCACGCGAGACCU